UCUUAAAAAAAAAAGAGAGAGAGAGAGAGGAAGGGCUUAAAAACUAAGAGCAGAUACAAAGUGCAACUUGCCACUUUCCCAACACUAAGAGCUCUCUCUCUCUCUCUCUCUCUCUCUCUUUUUUUUUUU
rnacentral:miRNA from 1 species